GGCGAGAUGGCCGAGCGGUCUAAGGCGCUGUGUUAAGGUGAACCACCUCCUCCUCAUCUCGAGGACGAGGCCUCAUCCGCAGUCUUCGGACGUGGGUUCGAAUCCCACUCUCGUCA